ensembl:lncRNA
AGAGAGAGAGAUACAGAGAGACAGGUAGAGAGAGACAGGUCCAGAGAGACAGGUAGAGAGAGAGAGAUACAGAGAGAGACAGGUAGAGAGAGAGAUACAGAGAGAGACAGGUAGAGAGAGAGAGAGAGAGAGAGAGAGAGAGAGAGAAAUGAGAUACAGAGAGGGACAGGUAGAGAGAGAGAGAGAAGUAGAGAGAGAGAUACAGAGAGAGACAGGUGGAGAGAGAGAGAGAGAUACAGAGAGAGACAGGUAGAGAGAGAGAGAGAGAGAGAGAGAAUGAGAUACAGAGAGGGACAGGUAGAGAGAGAGAGAGAGAGAGAGAGAGAGAGACAAGUAGAGAGAGAGAGAUACAGAGAGAGACCGGUGGAGAGAGAGAGAGAGCGAUACAGAGAGGGACAGGUAGAGAGAGAGAGAGAGAUACAGAGGGAGACAG